GAUGAACGCUAGCUACAGGCUUAACACAUGCAAGUCGAGGGACCGGCGCACGGGUGAGUAACACGUAUCCAACCUGCCCUUUACUCGGGGAUAGCCUUUCGAAAGAAAGAUUAAUACCCGAUAUAAAGGAUGGGGAUGCGUUCCAUUAGGUUGUUGGUGAGGUAACGGCUCACCAAGCCUUCGAUGGAUAGGGUUUCUGAGAGGAAGCCCCCCCCAAUUGGAACUGUGCCACGGCCCAAACUCCUCGGGGAGGCAGCGGUGAGGAAUAUUGGUCAAUGGUCGCUAGCCUAAACCAGCCAAGUAGGGUGAAGGAUGACGUCUUUGGGGUCUUAAACUUCUUUAAUAUAAGAAUCGGGAUUUUAUGAAUAAGGACCGGCUAACUCCGUGCCACCAGCCGCGGUAAUUC
rnacentral:rRNA from 1 species